rnacentral:tRNA from 1 species
AACUCAGUGGCCGAGUGGAUAACGCUAUGGCUUCUGGAGAGAGUGGUACUGGGUUCGAAUCCCUGGGUG